CUUGGUUCUCUGCACGAUUUUCCUGAAGGAAGCUGCUGCUGCUGGUCUCUGUCUUGCUGAAAUUGGCGAGAUGAUGAGCAGGGAUUUUCGCGCUGGGGAGGAGGAACCCAGUGAGCUUGAGGUUGUAUGUAUUGAGGCUAGGAGGUUGAUUACAGAGAGGGAGGUGUUGUCUCCCCGUACAGAUUUGGGAGAUGAGGAAUUCCAGUUUGAUAUAGACUCUGAAGAAACAGAAAUUGACUACACUCCUAAGACGACAACAGAAGACUAUUUGACUGGAACACCUUUUCAAUUUGGAACUGUGGUUGGGAAUGGUCGUUUCCCUCUUUC
rnacentral:misc_RNA from 1 species